AGAGUUUGAUCAUGGCUCAGAACGAACGCUGGCGGCGCGCUUAACACAUGCAAGUCGAACGAGAAGCUGUAGCAAUACAGUUGUAAAGUGGCAAACGGGUGAGUAAUGCGUGGGUAAUCUACCCUAGGGUGGGGAAUAACUCCUCGAAAGGGGAGCUAAUGCCGACAUGUGCGCCACUCUCGCAAGGGAGUGAUGGAAAGCCGUACCGUGGGUGCGGCGCCCAAGGAUGAGCUCACGUCCUAUCAGCUUGUUGGCGGGGUAACGGCCCACCAAGGCUCCGACGGGUAGCUGGUCUGAGAGGACGACCAGCCACACUGGCACUGCGACACGGGCCAGACUCCUACGGGAGGCAGCAGUGAGGAAUAUUGCGCAAUGGACGACAGUCUGACGCAGCGACGCCGCGUGGGGGAUGAAGGCCUUCGGGUUGUAAACCCCUUUCAGGAGGGAAGAUGGGACGGGUAACCGUUCGGACGGUACCUCCAGAAGCAGCCACGGCUAACUCUGUGCCAGCAGCCGCGGUAAGACAGAGGUGGCAAGCGUUGUUCGGAUUUACUGGGCGUAAAGAGUGCGUAGGUGGUGAGGUAAGAUCUGUGGGAAAGACCUGGGCUUAACCCAGGAAGGUCGCAGAUGACUGCCUCGCUUGAGGACGGGAGAGGAGAGCGGAAUUCCCGGUGUAGCGGUGAAAUGCGUAGAGAUCGGGAAGAAGGCCGGUGGCGAAGGCGGCUCUCUGGAACGUUCCUGACACUGAGGCACGAAAGCGUGGGGAGCAACAGGAUUAGAUACCCUGGUAGUCCACGCCCUAACGAUGGAUACUAAGUGUCGGCGGGUUACGCCGGUGCCGCACCUAACGGAGUAAGUAUCCCGCCUGGGGAGUACGGCCGCAAGGUUGAAACUCAAGGAAUUGACGG
rnacentral:rRNA from 1 species